rnacentral:misc_RNA from 1 species
CUGCGCUCAGCUCCCCUACGCGCGUCUUCCUCCCUGGCUGUGCCUACUUCCUCUGCUUCUCCCUCGCGGUGCCUUGUCCUGCUCGCGGCGCUCGGUCUCUGCUCCAGCUCGCCGAGAUCUCCCUCUCCUUGAGUCCCUUCCCCAGCUCCCUGGCUCGCCGGCAUUUCUCCCUGCACGCUCCCUCUGCCUGGCGCGCCCCUCUCCCUGGUCUCCCAUGGCGCCUCCUGCUUUUCUCUCUCCCCCAUGGCAGGCGCUCCUUCAAGCUCAUUCCCAUGGCCGCCGUCGAGCUUCGUGCGCGCACGUCCAUCUCUUCUGCUCCUCCGGUGCCGUGGCUUCCCAGUUCCUUCCAGCUGGCGCGCGCCCUCGUCUUCUCCCUCUGCUCGUUCGCGCCCAGCCGGGCUCGGCCUCCAUCUCCACCUCGCCUCCAUGGCGUUGCCGUAGAACUUCCUCGCCGCGCCCUGCCAUGGUCUCUCCCUGGGCGCGCGCAGCCGUGCCCUCUGCUCGGAUUCCACUUGGCCGCGCCCCCUGUUCCGUCGGGCCGAUCAAGUUCUUCCCAGCCGCGAAGCUCCCUCGUGUGCACGCUCAGCCGAGGCCCCUUCCUCGCGCUGCUCUUUAUCUCUCUGCUUGGUCGCCCGCUGUUUCCAUGGCGCCCAGCUCAGAUUUUUGCUUGGUCGCCCGCUGUUUCCCUGUGCCGUGGUCUCGCCUGACCGCGUCCUGUCAAGGUUCUUCCUGCACGCGCGCCCUAGUACCCCUUCUCGCUGUCGGGCCGACCGUCGGCAGCUCCCCGGCCUCCGUCGUGCUCGGCAGCAAGUACUUCAUAUCGGUGCUGCAGCUGCAACGCCCUCCUUUGCAUCGUGCUCGCCAGCCUCGCGUCGUCGAUCUACGCAGUUCAUGUCCAGCUAUCGGUUCCGCUUCGGUCGAUCUCCUAUUCGCCAUGGCGUCGAGCUCCUUCAACACUACCCUACACCGUUGUCGUUGUUCCAUCGCCUCGCUUCGAUGCCAGUCCCUACGUGAUGCCUCUGAAUUAUGAUCACGCUGACAAAAGAAUCCCCAAGAGAAGAUGUCCAAAGGUUGGAUGGUGGUGUGCGUGAAGUUCGUGUAGUACCUGCCAAACGCUCGACAAAUUGCCUGAAUCGGAGAAUCAUUACCGAUCUCAGGGAUUCAAGUCAGAUAUUGGAACGGUGCGCUAGAUGGUCGUGUGAUGCGGAAGACGAGCCAAGUCGACCCCAAGAUGACGUAAUGGGUGGACUAAUUCGCAAGGUGAUGCGGAUGGACGAACCUGAAGAUGGACAGACGAAGCAAGUAUCAGAACUAAAGUUGAUCGCCAAGUGGACGUCGUCUAACAAACACUACGUAGUGUUUAUUCCAGGUUUAUGCAUCCGGGGGCUCAAGUUGGAUCAUCGAUAGCGGGUGCACAAACCACAUGAC